UUAAGUUCAGCGGGUAUCCCUACCUGAUCCGAGGUCAACCUGGAAAAAAGAUUGAUGUGUCGGCAAGCGCCGGCCGGGCCUACAAGAGCGGGUGACGAAGCCCCAUACGCUCGAGGACCGGACGCGGUGCCGCCGCUGCCUUUCGGGCCCGUCCCCCGGGAGGAGGACGGAGGCCCAACACACAAGCCGUGCUUGAGGGC
rnacentral:misc_RNA from 1 species